rnacentral:rRNA from 1 species
GAACGCUGGCGGCGUGCUUAACACAUGCAAGUCGAGCGAUGAAACACCUUCGGGUGUGAAUUAGCGGCGAACGGGUGAGGAACACGUGAAGAAUCUGCCUUCAACUCUGGGAUAACCCCGGGAAACCGGGGCUAAUACCGGAUAUGAGCCUUGAUCGCAUGAUCGGGGCUGGAAAGUUUUUCGGUUGAAGAUGACUUCGCGGCCUAUCAGCUUGUUGGUGAGGUAAUGGCUCACCAAAGCGACGACGGGUAGCCGGCCUGAGAGGGCGACCGGCCACACUGGGACUGAGACACGGCCCAGACUCCUACGGGAGGCAGCAGUGGGGAAUAUUGGGCAAUGGAGGAAACUCUGACCCAGCGACGCCGCGUGAGGGAUGAAGGC